rnacentral:tRNA from 1 species
AGAAACUUAGGAUAACCCGCUAAACCGAAG